AUUGAACGCUGGCGGCAGGCCUAACACAUGCAAGUCGAACGAGUGGCGGACGGGUGAGUAAUGUCUGGGAAACUGCCCGAUGGAGGGGGAUAACUACUGGAAACGGUAGCUAAUACCGCAUACCAUCAGAUGUGCCCAGAUGGGAUUAGCUAGUAGGUGGGGUAACGGCUCACCUAGGCGACGAUCCCUAGCUGGUCUGAGAGGAUGACCAGCCACACUGGAACGGAGACACGGGCCAGACUCCUAAGGGAGGCAGCAGGGGGGAAUAUGGCACAAUGGGAGGAAGCCUGAUGCAGCCAUGCCGCGUGUGUGAAGAAGGCCUGCGGGUUGUAAAGCACUUUCAGCGGGGAGGCGUUACCCGCAGAAGAAGCACCGGCUAACUCCGUGCCAGCAGCCGCGGGAAUA
rnacentral:rRNA from 1 species